rnacentral:lncRNA from 1 species
UUUUUUUUCCUCUGCUAAGGAUUGAACCUAGGGCCUAGCACAUGCUAGGCAAGUGCUCCAGUACUGAGCUGCAUCUCCAGCCCUUUUUAUUUUAUUUCCAGACAGUCUGGGUAAAUCGCCCAGGCUGGCUUUGAACUCAAGGUCCCCUGUUGCAGAUUCCGCAGAUUCCCACAGACUCCGGAGUUACUGGGAUUAAUCCUUUGUUAAGGGAGAAGGAUGUUGGAUCUACAGGUGUAACUGGAGGUUGGGAAGCAGCUGGGCUUUGCAGGAGGCCCUGAUCUUUAGCAAUGCAAAUUGUGAUUCCUCAGGUGGCCAACAGAGGGGCACCAGGAAUUGGUAAUGGCUGCUGAACUUUUAAGUUCUGGGGUUCCCAGCUUGCCUGGGGUGUGCUUUUGAUGUUGGACUCCUUUGCCCCCUCCUAGAUUUAGGUGCUCUGUAGUUGCUCCCAGUGGGUUAUUCACUCCUAGUUCUGGAGUAGAUGGUCAUGUCGUGAAUCAUCUCUUUCCCCUUUGUGCUCAGCAGUAUGCCAGUGUCAAAGGGAUUAAUAAAUACUUGAUUUUGUUUGGUACUAGAUAUUGAACCCAGGGGUGCUUUACCACAGAGCUGCAUUUCAGCCUUUUUUAUAUUUUGCAGGGACCAGGGAUUAAACCCAGGGGUACUUAACCACCGAGUAACUCCAGCCCUUUUUCUUAUUUUGACACAGGUUCUUGCUAAGUUGCUUAGGGCCUAAGUUGCAAGUCUGGCCUUGAACUUUCAGUCCUCCUGCUGUAGCCUUCUGAGUUGCUGGGAUUACAGACAUGCCAGUGCUCUCUGCUUUAGUUUUUUGAAACAGGGUCUAAAUUGCUUAGGACCUCGCUAAGUUGGUGAGGCUAGUCUCGAACUUUGGAUCUACUGCCUGAGCCUCCCAAUGCUAAAUACUUGUUGAAUCAGCUCAGGAAGACCCAGAUUUAUGACAUACAGCAAACUAGUAUUGACACAGUACAUAUACAUAGUAUUGACAUACUACAUACAAUAGAUGGGAUGUAUAGCUCUUGAGCGAUAUCCCCAGCUCUUUUUUAUUUUGAGAUAUGUUGUCGAUAAAUUUCUUUUUUUUAAUAUAUAUUUUUUAGUUAUACAUGGACAUAAUAUCUUUAUUUUGUUUGUUUAUUUUUAUGUGGUGCUGAGGCUUGAAAUCAGUACCUCACAUGUGAGGGGCAAGCACUCUGCUACUGAGCCACACUCCAGCCCCUGUUGUCGAUAAAUUUCUGAGGCUGGCUUUAAACUUUAUUCUCCUACCUCCUUAGCUGCUGGGAUUAUAGGCAUGGGCCACCAUAUCUGGCUCAUGGAUGCUUUUAAAGCCUCAUGAUCUACUGGCUGAGCUAGCUGGCCAUCUUUAGAGCUGCUUUCAAAUACAGAUUUUUAGAAGACCCAAAUUGGUGUGAACAUACUUUAUGUACAACCAGAGAUAUGAAAAAUUGUGCUGUAUAUGUGUAAUAAGAAUUGUAAUGCAUUCUGCUGUCAUUUAUUAAAAAAAAAACAAUAAAAACAGAUUUUUAGGCCCCUUCUCUAGAGA